UUUGUGUUUGACAUUGAUGAUUGUGGCAUUUUAGAAAAAGGUAUAUCCCAAACAUAAUAAUUUUGUUUGGUUUUUUAUUCCUUUUCCGCUUCUCUUCUUUUGAUUCCCUGUUUAUAUAUUAUGUGUUUUCUUAUGGCUGUUUUGAAACCUUACCUUUUCUGAAUUUGUAUGCUUUAUGGGUCGUCAUUUAAUCUACUUAACUAUCAUCGUGAUCAUAGGAGGAUGUUCGUGGCACACUACAAGUUUUCUUUUUGACAAGUUAUUCAUAUUCAUGAUUCCGUUAUCAAUUGCAAUUGCUUUCCCAUGAUUUCUCAUGAAUUGGACGUGAAUGUAUUUAUAGAUUUUUAUUGUUUUUUAGCCAGACAAAAGAUUUGAUUGAGCAACAGGUGCUUCAACCAUAUAUUAUUAUAAUUGUACGACGCCUUAGCGUUACAAGGUCUUGAAAUUAUCUCUUUCUUUCUCUAAUUGGGUUUUUGACAAAUUAUAUGAGAUUUUAUUGCUAUUAAUUUUGAGGAAGUUCUCAGAUUCAAGACCAUAUAUUUUUUUAAUUUCUACCAUUUGGCUUCUGUUGACUUUAACCUUGAGUUGUAGUGGUAUUUGUGUUUUCUAAAUUUCUUCCAAUAACAUAGUUUUAGUUUGAUUUUGUUUGUAUAUUUCUCUUCAGAGCAAUUCUUGGAGUUGCAAGC
rnacentral:lncRNA from 1 species